rnacentral:tRNA from 1 species
GGUUGUGGCUCAGGGGUAAAGCAAUCACUUAGCAUGUACAAGGCCCUGGGUUCGAUCCUCAGCACCA